GAUGAACGCUAGCGACAGGCUUAACACAUGCAAGUCGAGGGGCAGCAUAGAAGUAGCAAUACUUUGGUGGCGACCGGCGCACGGGUGAGUAACGCGUAUGCAACCUACCUAUCAGAGGGGAAUAACCCGGCGAAAGUCGGACUAAUACCGCAUAAAACAGGGGCACCGCAUGGUGAUAUUUGUUAAAGAAAUUCGCUGAUAGAUGGGCAUGCGUUCCAUUAGGUAGUUGGUGAGGUAACGGCUCACCAAGCCGACGAUGGAUAGGGGAACUGAGAGGUUGGUCCCCCACACUGGUACUGAGACACGGACCAGACUCCUACGGGAGGCAGCAGUGAGGAAUAUUGGUCAAUGGGCGAGAGCCUGAACCAGCCAAGUCGCGUGAAGGAAGAAAGAUCUAUGGUUCGUAAACUUCUUUUGCAGGGGAAUAAAGUGCGGGACGUGUCCUGUUUUGUAUGUACCCUGAGAAUAAGGAUCGGCUAACUCCGUGCCAGCAGCCGCCGUAAAAC
rnacentral:rRNA from 1 species